GGAUGCGUCGAGGGUGGGAGCAGGGGUGAGAGGCAGGGAGAUAGAGUUGCAGGGAGGCGUAGGGCGUGAAGGGGGCGUGGGGGAGACUUUACAUCAGGGGAGAAAUCCUGGAGCUCAACUCCAGAACUGCAGUUGAUACUGAAGAUCUUGAGUUCGGGAGAGGUGAGAGGAACUGCGAGAGUAGAGGUGAAAUUCGUAGAUAUUCGCAAGAACACCAGUGGCGAAGGCGGCUCACUGGCCCGAUACUGACGCUGAGGCACGAAAGCGUGGGGAGCAAACAGGAUUAGAUACCCGGGUAGC
rnacentral:rRNA from 1 species